GAGAUAAUUCACAAGUACUUUUAUUUCUUUUGUUAGGUAGGAAAAUACGGCAGACCUCGUUUCACAGGAUAGGGAAACCGAGGCACAGAUGGGCUGAAACUGAGUGUGAAGGGCUGCUGUGACCCGGUGGAAAAGGGCACCUACUGCAACCCAUAGAACACAGCAAGCCUUGCCAGUUAAAUAAGGAACAAUUCCUUCAUCUCUUGCCUAAAGAAUUGUAGUGUGUUAUCGGUACUCUCAUACAGUGCCGCACUUGGGAGGAGCGCUAGUUCUCAUGUGAUGGGCAAGUUUUGUGGUGCUCCAACACUAAUGAGGCAGAGGGGGAGAAAUUAGGAUUAAAAACCAGGGAAUGCAAAGCUGUAAGCACGGGGGCAUGGCUGCUCGGGCUAUCUUGACUCAAAAUGGCUCAGCAUAUAUUCUACUUUAGAGCAGUGUACAAAACCAAAAAAUGGUAGCAAAUCCCCCCGUUUUUUAGGUAUUGCACAAGCACACGUGUUUUGUGUAAACUGGAGUUUUUAAUGAAAUCUGUUGGAGGUUGAUUUACCCUAAUGUAACACCCAGGCAUGGAAGGGUGGCAGGUAUGCUGCUUCUAAUAAAGUCCAUUUAGCUUCUGACGUAGAUUACUUUAAAAAAAAUUUAAAAAACCCACUUCUCCCUCCCAACCCACAGCAAACACACAAGUGUGAUAAAGUAUCUUGGUAUAAAAUCAAUACCGAGGUGAUUAGCAGCCUUUGAAAAAUUCUGGCUCUAAGUCAGUUCAUGGCAGAGAUCAAAUGGAGGUGCUGUCAACUCUUACUUUGCUUCUGAUAUACAACAGGUAAAAUCAUCUGCAAUGAUUCCUGUUAUUCCUGCAUUUUCUUCUUUUUCCCUGGCCCGUGUCCGGGGGGAGGCAGGACGGCGCGCGUCCAGAGGGCAUGCCCCAGGCUGUCAAGGUUUUCGUACAGGUGCCUACACUUUGGGGGAUAACUGGAGAUAAGGCUGACCAGCUGGACCCAGGUCCCUCUGUCUGAUUCCCGGCUGCCACUGGGAGCAAUCUGGGGUCCCAGAUGGAUAGCGCUGGUCAUCAGCUGGCACGCCAAAAGGAGCUCAGUCCUCUAUCGCAGAGAAGGAUUGAAGCAUUAUCUAGCCCUUUGGCUAACUCAGGCAUCGAGUGCAGUUUGUCAUAGUGCCAGAGGCCCAAGGACGGAUACUAAGCUUGAAAAUAUUUGGGACCUCAAACCUGAUGGAGAAGAUGUGAGCUGAGGCGCAGGGAAUGCAGGGCUGGAUGAAAAUCAAAUGAAGAUGUCAAAACAGUGCUACCUCUGCCUCAGGCAAAAAGGAGACACGGUGACCCCCCAAGUCCUUCCAAACGUGAGCUUAGCUUGCGUGAAGAGAAAGCAGCUCCAGCAUCCUCAUAAUUGAGGGCAGUGCUAGAUGAAAGAUGAGCAAAGAAAAUCAGAGGAAAAUCAUGGUGUAAGAAUCUGGAUCUGAAAUCUGCGGCUUUAAAGAGGGGAAAAAAACCAGGGAGGUUGGCAACAAGCCACCGAAAUAGCACAGAAGCCCUGCUCGGAUGGGUUUAGUUUUGUGAGGACACUGAGCCAGACUGAGCUGUAAGGGGGGUUAGAAAGGAGAGUAAUGGAAUUUGCUUCUGACCCACCCUUUAUUUCAGCAGGAGCAGUGGCUCUUACAUCCCUUAGGCUUAUUGGAAGAAUCCCAGCCUUAAACGGCAAGAUGUGUUGAAAUACAGAUGUUAAUCAAGAUGGUGAUAACUCAUGUGGGUUUACUUUUCCUGAAGAUAAAGUCCAUUUUAAAUGUACUCAUUACUUGCUAGUAACAAAACUUUCCGUUAGUACAAGGAAAUGUAUAUUAUACCUCAGAAAUACAUGCUUCACUGAGCUUGGAGAGUAAAG